rnacentral:rRNA from 1 species
CCUACGGGAGGCAGCAGUGGGGAAUAUUGCACAAUGGGGGAAACCCUGAUGCAGCAACGCCGCGUGNAGGAUGACGCAUUUCGGUGUGUAAACUCCUUUUAUAUGGGAAGAUAAUGACGGUACCAUAUGAAUAAGCACGGCUAA